rnacentral:rRNA from 1 species
GACGAACGCUGGCGGCGUGCCUAAUACAUGCAAGUCGAACGAGAGCGACCGGUGCUUGCACUGGUCAAUCUAGUGGCGAACGGGUGAGUAACACGUGGGUAACCUGCCCAUCAGAGGGGGAUAACAUCCGGAAACGGAUGCUAAAACCGCAUAGGUCUUCGAACCGCAUGGUUUGAAGAGGAAAAGAGGCGCAAGCUUCUGCUGAUGGAUGGACCCGCGGUGCAUUAGCUAGUUGGUGAGGUAACGGCUCACCAAGGCCGUGAUGCAUAGCCGACCUGAGAGGGUGAUCGGCCACAUUGGGACUGAGACACGGCCCAAACUCCGACGGGAGGCCGCAGUAGGGAAUCUUCCGCAAUGGACGCAAGUCUGACGGAGCAACGCCGCGUGAGUGAAGAAGGUGUUCGGAUCGUAAAACUCUGUUGUUAGAGAAGAACAAGUGCUAGAGUAACUGUUAGCGCCUUGACGGUAUCUAACCAGAAAGCCACGGCUAACUACGUG